GGGGGGUGGGGGGGUGG
rnacentral:miRNA from 1 species